rnacentral:rRNA from 1 species
UACGGAGGGUGCGAGCGUUGUCCGGAAUCAUUGGGCGUAAAGGGCGCGUAGGCGGCCCGCCGCGUCCGGGGUGAAAUCCUCCCGCUCAACGGGAGGACGGCCUCGGAUACGGGCGGGCUGGAGGGGGGUAGGGGCACGCGGAACUGUGGGUGGAGCGGUGAAAUGCGUUGAGAUCCACAGGAACUCCGGUGGCGAAGGCGGCGUGCUGGACCCCACCUGACGCUGAGGCGCGAAAGCCAGGGGAGCGAACGGG